GAAACUCUGCAAAGCCUGAGAGGUAUCUUGGGAUAUCUCUUCCUCACUUGGGAAAAGUGAGGAAGAAAAUGGCUAACAUUUAAAUCUCAACUGGAAAGAAAAGACACAGCAUGUGUAUUAAAUGAGUUAUGAAAUGAGGUGAAGAAAAACAAGCAUCACAUGCCACAACUGAAAAACCAUUACAUGAAACUGUGAAUAUAGCAGCAAGAUCAGCCGAAGAGGAUGGAGGGCGAUGAAGGAGUCCUUUGGAACACAGGUUCAUUUGUGCAGGUCUGGUGCAAGGGAAAGAAACACAGCAAAGCAAGUUCUCCAGGUACCAAUGUUUUUAGAAACCUUCUAUUCUAGUGGGCUAAAAUCAACCGAGCAACUGCGUCUACUUCAGAUGAGAAAACCAUGGACAGCCUGUAAGCAGUUCCUGAUCUGCUACCCAAAAAUCUGUUCUCUGAUUGGAACAGCUCUAUGGCUGGCAGGAGUCUGGGAUUCCUCUAAAAAGUUCAAGUAAUGCCAAGCAACAAUAUGAAGACCUCGAAUUUGACUUUUGUAGAAAGUAGAUGAAAGCCCUGGGAAACUUUUUUCCUCAAUUCUGUGAGCCUGAGGAUAAACAGGAAAAGUUGUAAGAGUGGUAAACAAACUUCGAGGAGUGCAGAUUAAGUAACUAAGAAGCAAAACACGAAUGUGCAGUUUAUCUUGGAAGAAAGAAAGUAAGUUUACAUUAAAAUUUGAUUAAUUUUUAUUAUUUUCUAUAUGGAAAUCCUUUGAUAGCGGUGCCUCUGAACAGGUGAUGUUUAAGGAAAAUUAAAUAUUAAAAUACAGUAGCAUGUGCAACAUCAGCACGUUACAGAACAGAAGUACAUCUUUAACAGGCAAUUAGCAGUGGG
ensembl:lncRNA